GAUGAAGAACGUAGCGAAAUGCGAUAAGUAAUGUGAAUUGCAGAAUUCAGUGAAUCAUCGAAUCUUUGAACGCACAUUGCGCCCGCCAGUAUUCUGGCGGGCAUGCCUGUUCGAGCGUCAUUUCAACCAUCAAGCCCCCGGCUUGUGUUGGGGACCUGCGGCUGCCGCAGGCCCUGAAAUGCAGUGGCGGGCUCGCUGUCACUCCGAGCGUAGUAGUUACAUCUCGCUCUGGGCGUGCUGCGGGUUCCGGCCGUUAAAAGCCUUAUUUACCCAAGGUUGACCUCGGAUCAGGUAGGAAGUCCCGCUGAACUUAAGCAUAUCAAUAAGCGGAGGA
rnacentral:misc_RNA from 1 species